rnacentral:rRNA from 1 species
CCUACGGGAGGCAGCAGUGAGGAAUAUUGGUCAAUGGACGAGAGUCUGAACCAGCCAAGUAGCGUGAAGGAUGACUGCCCUAUGGGUUGUAACCUUCUUUUAUAAAGUAAUAAAACGAGGCACGUGUGCCUUUUUGCAUGUACUUUAUGAAUAAGGAUCGGCUAACUCCGUGCCAGCAGCCGCGGUAAUACGGAGGAUCCGAGCGUUAUCCGGAUUUAUUUGGUUUAAAGGGAGCGUAGAUGGGUUGUUACGUCAGUUGUGAAAGUUUGCGGCUCAACCGUAAAAUUGCAAUUGAUACUGGCAGUCUUGAGUACAGUUGAGGUAGGCGGAAUUCGUGGUGUAGCGGUGAAAUGCUUAGAUAUCACGAAGAACCCCGAUUGCGAAGGCAGCUUACUAAACUGUGACUGACAUUGAUGCUCGAAAGUGUGGGUAUCAAACAGGAUUAGAUACCCUGGUAGUC